AUUUCUCAAUAUCAAUUCAUUUUCGUAAUUUUGCAAUUCUCCAUUUCCCAAGUUCUACCGACUUUCCAAUUUCACAAAAUGUUUGCCAAAUAUUUCUUGAUUGCUGUCCUCCUUGUUGCUGGGAUCCAAGCAAUGUCCAUGAAUCCAGAGGAGAAGCUUUUCUUCGCCAAUAUACCAAUUGCCACUAACCAAACUUUCAACCUUGUUCCGUUAUCCUGCACUCUGUUCGGCGUUCUCUGCCCCUUCGGCUACACCGGACCCAGAGGCGGUUAACUUUUGAUUUUUAACACGUAUCAAAAAAUAAUACAUUUGAUAUUAAAUUCAAAUAAAAUACUUAACUUGAAA